AUUGAACGCUGGCGGCAGGCCUAACACAUGCAAGUCGAGCGGAGCGGCGGACGGGUGAGUGAUGCCUAGGAAUCUGCCUGGUAGUGGGGGAUGGCGUCCUGAAACGGGCGCUAAUACCGCAUCCUAUCAGAUGAGCCUAGGUCGGAUUGGCUAGUUGGUGGGGUAAAGGCCUACCAAGGCGACGAUCCGUCACUGGUCUGAGAGGAUGAUCAGUCACACUGGAACUGAGACACGGUCCAGACUCCUACGGGAGGCAGCAGUGGGGAAUAUUGGACAAUGGGCGAAAGCCUGAUGCAGCCAUGCCGCGUGUGUGAAGAAGGCCUUCGGAUUGUAAAGCACUUUAAGCUGGGAGGCGUUACCAACAGAAUAAGCACCGGCUAACUCCGUGCCAGCAGCCGCGGUAAUAC
rnacentral:rRNA from 1 species